ACGGAGGGUGCGAGCGUUGUCCGGAAUCACUGGGCGUAAAGCGCACGUAGGCGGACUUACAGGUCAAUUGUGAAAUACCUGAGCUCAACUCGGGAACUGCAGUUGAAACCGUUUGUCUUGAAUACCUGAGAGGGUGGGGGAAUACCUGGUGGAGAAGUGAAAUUCGUAGAGAUCAGGUGGAACACCGGAGGCGAAGGCGCCUGCCUGGCAGUGUAUUGACGCUGAGGUGCGAAAGUGCGGGGAGCAAACAGGA
rnacentral:rRNA from 1 species